AUGCCCGUCCUCCCUGAAGAAGAGGAGGAUUCCCCUGAGGAGCUCGACAGUUCCUCCAGCUCACCCAGCACAUAUACACCAGCUGAAAGUAGAGCAGUUACCGUGGAGAUGCCUGCUCCCACCAUUGUCUUCCCAAAGCAAGCGACCGUGACCGUGGUCCAAGCAGACGGUCGCCCUCUGGAACAGACCAGGUACAUGUGUUAUUUCAUCCUGAGAACAGGACUGUUCAUGUCAAGAUGGAUUGAGAGCAAACCACCUCUGGAAAAAUGAUCCACUUUAACCAAGCCAGCAUCGAGAUAUUUCUAGAAAAUAAAAUCCAUCCUUCUUCAAGUGUUUAGAGUAGCUAAAUGUAAAUAAAGACUGCGUCGUAAGAACACGGCGUCUGUUCAUUUGAAACGUUUCUCUUUCCCAGACCACACAGUCCCAGACCUCGCUUGUCCCGAAACGCCCUGGGAGGACCCAUCACUACUGUCGGUGGGUACAGUCAAAUACUUAAAGGCUAAAUAUAGCCUCGUGUUUACAAAACGUACAUAAGUCCAUUGUUCAAAAUGUGAGUUCCAUUCAGAUUUUCUUUCUUCAUAACAUUGUAUGGCUAAUUUAAUUCCAUCUAUUGAAAUGUAUAAGUUUGGUCAUCAGUGUCUGACAGCAUACAGAACUGGGGCCCUUUGUCCUUAGAAAAUCAGAGCCAAAGCUCUCAGUGCCGGGAUGCUUCUGCUUUGAUUACUAUUGAUGUUGGCCUGUUGCUCUGUGCUGAGCUCAGAGAGAAGACUAUUG
rnacentral:lncRNA from 13 species